CAGUAGCCGCGGUAAUACGAAGGGGGCUAGCGUUGCUCGGAAUUACUGGGCGUAAAGGGCGCGUAGGCGGCGCUCCAAGUUAGGCGUGAAACUCCCGGGCUCAACCUGGGGACUGCGCUUAAGACUGGAGUGCUUGAGGAUGGAAGAGGGUUGUGGAAUUCCCAGUGUAGAGGUGAAAUUCGUAGACAUUGGGAAGAACACCGGUGGCGAAGGCGGCAACCUGGUCCAUUACUGACGCUGAGGCACGAAAGCGUGGGGAGCAAACAGGAUUAGAUACCCCCGUAGUCCCUGUCUCUUAUAC
rnacentral:rRNA from 1 species